AGAUUUGGUCUGGUUAGUGACUUGUCAUUGCUUGGCAUUUGUGUGAUGUGAAUGUCUGUUACUAAUCAUCAGCCCAAACCUGAAUGUUGUCUUGGCUUUGCUGCAGCUGGGCACAGACUUCUGCACUCAACAGUGAACAUCUGCACUUCUGAACUAAUAUAGGGAAGGUUAUGGAGGAAGCAGAUACUUGUGUUUAGGACCAAAUCUUGCAGUGAUGUCCAAGGGUUGAGAUGAUUAGACACCCACAGCCACCUUAAAAUGUGCUAGGCGUGACUUCUGCCAGUAAAGACCCUUCUCCUCAUUUUCACUCAACUUAAUUUUAGUGGCCUCCUCGUUACCAAAAUGGCUGACAUGCUGCUUUGAUAUCACUGCAGUCACUUCAACAUACCUCUGGAAUUCAGCUCUUCUGUCCAUGAUGAGAGAAAGCUGUAAUAAGGUCUAGAGCAAGAGGUCCUAGCAAAACCAAACUUCUUUUUAUUCAUUCACAGGAUGAGGGCGUCGCUGGCUAGGCAACAUUUAUUGUCCAUCUAUAAUUGCCGAGAGGGCAGUUAAGAGUCAACCACAUUGCUGUGCGUCUAGAGUCACAUGUAGGUCCGAGCAGAACUGACAGCAUCCAGAGUAGAUAAAAAUCAGAAUAAUUUCUUUAAAAGAAGUUGGAUCAACGCUGGUUAAAAAGAGAACUGUGAAUGACGGUGUCAUACAAAAUGUAAUGUGACCUCACCACUGUGUCAAGAGAGACAAAGUAACUAAACAUCUAGCAAGUCAAAACAAGACAUCAAUGUAUGAUAAACAAUGAUAUUACUACACGAUAUAACUUAUAACCUCACGGCUCGGUAGAUGCUGGGAUCAUGUCCCUUCUUAUGCUUCUAUGAUGUAAAUGAUUUUAAGUCAGAACAUCUUUCCAUAAAUUGCUCACAAUUAUUUUCUUUUUAUGUUGCUGAGUAACAUAACUGGACCAAGAAAGUUUGAAUUCAGCCAAUCCUGAUUUUCAUUUCUACAUCUGUGUUUUCCCAUACCCGUACAACACCCAACGAGUUAGGAUAAGACUUCAUCAGCUAGAAGGACAAAAUGCAUUGCAGUUUUCUCUACUUCUCAAAGGAUGCUCUGAACCAUUCCAUACAAAUGCACAGCAACAUUUGAACUAUAGAGGUCAGUGGAGGCUGGAUACAUUGAAAAUGGAGUUUAGGCUCAAGAAAAUGACUCUAAUCCUCAACUACUGAAACACCAAGGGAAUAAAAAAAUUACUUGCUGCCGUUUGGCAACAGCACGAGUAGGAAACAAUGCAAACAACAAAAGAAGUUAACAUCUUGAAUUUUCUGUGAAGGUUACAAAUAAAUUAUGCAAUAGCACAGACUAGUGGUCAUUCACAGAAUAUAUAUCCACUUUACUAUCAUAACUGAACCUCAAAAUAGAUCAUAAACAAGGAUAGAAUCAGCCGGUGUAUUUUCAAAGCACAAGGACUGAAGGUUAAGAAAGGAAACAUGAUAAAUCAAGUGGCAUUAACCAGAUGAAAUCAAGUUGGAGUUUUACAAGGACAAAAGAACUUGUCCAGCCCAGCUCUUCCCCUCCACCCACUGCAUCCCAAAACCAGUCCAACCUGUCUCUGCCUCCCUAACCUGUUCUGCCUCUCACCCAUCCCUUCCUCCCACCCCAAGCCGCACCCCCAUCUACCUACUAACCUCAUCCCACCUCCUUGACCUGUCCGUCUUCCCUGGACUGACCUAUCCCCUCCCUACCUCCCCAUCUAUCUUUUCUCUCCAUCUUCGGUCCGCCUCCCCCUCUCUCCCUAUUUAUUCCAGUUCCCUCACCCCAUCCCCCUCUCUGAUGAAGGGUCCAGGCCCGAAACGUCAGCUUUUGUGCUCCUGAGAUGCUGCUUGGCCUGCUGUAUUCAUCCAGCCUCACAUUUUAUUAUCUUGUAAGAAAAUGAGCUGUGUAUAACGCAUUUUUAUUUUAACAUGGUAAGAACAAAGGGAAGCAAAGCUUGUAAGCAGCAUUAAUGGAGGUUACAAUGCAGAAGUUCAGAUGAAAACAAAUAUCAAUAAAAUAGAAACACAAUGUGCCGACAGUCUUGCCAAUGUUCUGUCCAACUGAAGCAAGACUGCUUUGGUCCUGCACUCAAAUCUUCUUGCAAUUGAGACUGACAUACCUCAUGAUUUCUGAAUUGCUUGUUGUCCCACAUGUUGACUUUCAGUAGCUUAUGAACAAGGACACCGGAGUCCCUUUAGACAUUAACACUCUUACAAUCUCUCAUCAUUUAAGAAGUACUAACCACCUGUGUCCUCCUACACAAAUUAAUAAGC